rnacentral:rRNA from 1 species
AGUUUCGAUCCUGAGCUGCGACUAAUUGCGGUAGCUUGGUCCCUGUAUAGUUAGCGGCGGACGGGUGAGUAACACGUGGGUAACCUGCCUGUAAGACUGGGAUAACUCCGGGAAACCGGGGCUAAUACCGGAUGGUUGUCUGAACCGCAUGGUUCAGACAUAAAAGGUGGCUUCGGCUACCACUUACAGAUGGACCCGCGGCGCAUUAGCUAGUUGGUGAGGUAACGGCUCACCAAGGCGACGAUGCGUAGCCGACCUGAGAGGGUGAUCGGCCACACUGGGACUGAGACACGGCCCAGACUCCUACGGGAGGCAGCAGUAGGGAAUCUUCCGCAAUGGACGAAAGUCUGACGGAGCAACGCCGCGUGAGUGAUGAAGGUUUUCGGAUCGUAAAGCUCUGUUGUUAGGGAAGAACAAGUGCCGUUCAAAUAGGGCGGCACCUUGACGGUACCUAACCAGAAAGCCACGGCUAACUACGUGCCAGCAGCCGCGGUAAUACGUAGGUGGCAAGCGUUGUCCGGAAUUAUUGGGCGUAAAGGGCUCGCAGGCGGUUUCUUAAGUCUGAUGUGAAAGCCCCCGGCUCAACCGGGGAGGGUCAUUGGAAACUGGGGAACUUGAGUGCAGAAGAGGAGAGUGGAAUUCCACGUGUAGCGGUGAAAUGCGUAGAGAUGUGGAGGAACACCAGUGGCGAAGGCGACUCUCUGGUCUGUAACUGACGCUGAGGAGCGAAAGCGUGGGGAGCGAACAGGAUUAGAUACCCUGGUAGUCCACGCCGUAAACGAUGAGUGCUAAGUGUUAGGGGGUUUCCGCCCCUUAGUGCUGCAGCUAACGCAUUAAGCACUCCGCCUGGGGAGUACGGUCGCAAGACUGAAACUCAAAGGAAUUGACGGGGGUGCCGCACAAGCGGUGGGAGCAUGUGGUUUAAAUUCGAAGCAACGGCGAAGAACCUUACCCGGUCUUGGACAUCCUUCUGACCAUACCUAAAGAUAGGACGUCCCCCUUCGGGGGGCAAAAUGGACAGG